rnacentral:rRNA from 1 species
UUAGAACGUCGUGAGACAGUUCGGUCCCUAUCUGCCGUGGGUGAAGGAGACUUGAGAGGAUCUGUCCCUAGUACGAGAGGACCGGGAUGGACGUACCUCUGGUGAACCGGUUGUCGCGCCAGCGGCAUGGCCGGGUAGCUAAGUACGGACGGGAUAACCGCUGAAAGCAUCUAAGCGGGAAACCCACCUCAAAACUAGGUCUCCCUGGGGGUCAAACCCCUACAGGGCCGUGCAAGACCAGCACGUCGAUAGGCCAGAUGUAUAAGCGCGGUAACGCGUUCAGCUAACUGGUCCUAAUCGCCCGAUCGGCUCCAUAUGACGCCA